rnacentral:rRNA from 1 species
GACGAACGCUGGCGGCGUGCUUAACACAUGCAAGUCGAACGGAAAGGCCCUGCUUUUGUGGGGUUCUCGAGUGGCGAACGGGUGAGUAACACGUGAGUAACCUGCCCUUGACUUUGGUAUAACUUCAGGAAACUGGGGCUAAUACCGUAUAGCAUCUCCUGCUGCAUGGUGGGGGUUGGAAAUUCUCGGCUGUUGUGGAUGGACUCGCGGCUUAUCAGCUUGUUGGUGGGGUAGUGGCUUACCAAGGCUUUGACGGGUAGCCGGCCUGAGAGGGUGACCGGCGACAAGGGGACUGAGAUACGGACCAGAGGCCUACGGGAGGCAGCAGUGGGAAAUAUUGCACAAUGGGAGGAAGCCGGAGGAAGAAACGCCGCGGGCGGGAAGACGGCCUUCGGGGUGAAAACAGCUGUAGCCUGUGACGAAGCGGGAGUGACGGUAAUGGGUAAAGAAGCACCGGCUAACUACGUG